AGAGUUUGAUCCUGGCUCAGAUUGAACGCUGGCGACGUGCUUAACACAUGCAAGUCGUGCGAGAAAGUAGGCUUCGGUCUAUGAGUAGAGCGGCGCACGGGUGAGUAACGCGUGGAUGAUCUACCCUUGAGUUCGGGAUAACGGUGCGAAAGCGCCGCUAAUACCGUAUAACAAUCCAUUUCAUCGUGGGUUCAAAGCAGGCCUCUUCGUGAAAGCUUGCGCUUGGGGAUGAGUCCGCGUCCCAUUAGCUUGUUGGCGGGGUAACGACCCACCAAGGCUACGAUGGGUAGCUGGUCUGAGAGGAUGAUCAGCCACACUGGAACUGAAACACGGUCCA
rnacentral:rRNA from 1 species